UAGUUGUCCAAGCUGGUCUCAAACUCCUGGACUCAAAUGAUCCUCCCACCUUGGCCUCCCAAAAUGUUGGGAUCCACCGCACCAUUCCUAUAUCUACCAUUUUAGUAUUUGUUUUCUAUUUGUCUCAACUGUAUUAUAUUCUUUUUUUUCUCUUUUACUUGUCUUACUUUGGAUUAAUGAAACCCUUUUAAAGUUACUGUAAUUCCCCUGUCAGUAGCUUGAUGAUAAGAUUCUCUUACUACUUCUUCAGUUGUUACUCUAGAUAUUGAAGCACACAUUUUGGAUACGUUGGAGUCUAAUAUAUAUUAGUAUUUUUAUCUCUUUAUAGAUAUAUCAUGAACCUUAAACUACUUUAACUCCACUUAAUUCGCUCCACAUACUGUGCUAUUAUUCUGAUGUAUUUUAAUGCUACAUAUAUUUUAAAUCCCACAGCUGAUUAUCAUUCUUGGUCUGCACAGUUAUUAUUAAUUUCAAUUUACCCCCUUUCUUGCUCUUCAUUCCUUCUAUUAUUUUGUGUGUGUGUCUCUGUCUGGGUCAUUUUCUUUAUGUGUGAAGAAUUAUUUUUAGCAUUUCUUUUUAUAGACAUUGGUUUACAUGACAGAUAUUGCUAUGGAAGGAAGUGCUGGAAAGGGAAGGGAAUGGUCCCUUUAAAUGAUACAGAAGUGGGGGAAGGGCGUUGGUCCCUGGCUAGGGCUCCACCCCUGGGCCCCUGCCCUGGGACCUAGGUGAGAACAGGCCCUCCUGCCUUUGCACCCAAAUGUUGUGUUUCCCAAGACCACCCUAGCCUGCCCUGCCCCCAUCCUGUGCCUAUAAAAACCCCUGACACCCUAGCAAGCAGACACACAGGCAGAUGGACAUGGAGAGGAAUGCACCGACAGGCACCAGCAUGCCAGCAGGCCACCGACCAGGAGAACUAUCCUAUACGGAGUUUAGCUGGGGCACUGAGUGGCCGGACUCCAGUGGAAAACCUUCCCACUCCAUCCCCUUCUGGCUUCCUCCAUCUGCUGAGAGCUACCUCCGCUCAAUAAAACCUUGCACUCACUCUCCAAGCCCAGGUGUGAUCCGAUUCUUCCAGUGCACCAAGCUUUCCCUUCAGUCAUCAAACUGACUAACAGUAGAAGGAAAACCAGGCUUUUGAUUUUGGACAAACUCAUAUACGGAGAGAACCACUUUCAAAAACACAGUUAAAAGAGCCUAUUGAUAACUCCUCUGGGAGUUAGUCUUUAUACAUCCAUCUGUGGGACACGCACAGGCAGAAUUGUGGAAUAUCACCUCAAAAAAGAAAAAUAAGAAAGCAAGAUCAGGAGAAAUGAGACUGGAGCAGAACUGUCAUGCACUGAUCAUCUCUGUGUGGAAUGCAAAAAUGGAUAUGGAUAUUAAACUCCAGGAGAUGUUAUUUGGGAAAGGUGACUGCAAGAAGUCAAGCUAUUCAGAGACUAUACCUGAUCAUGAACAUUGUUCUACCUGUAAUCGUGCUGAGAGAAUAAUAUACUGGUGAGGGUGUGAGGGUGAAAGUAUUAUCACAUUUGCAAAGUAUAAUGCAAUUUCUCUCUCAUGGAGUAAAACUCUCCCUCUCUCUC
rnacentral:lncRNA from 1 species